rnacentral:rRNA from 1 species
AGAGUUUGAUCCUGGCUCAGGACGAACGCUGGCGGCGUGCCUAAUACAUGCAAGUCGAGCGAGCUGAAUUCAAAGAUCCCUUCGGGGUGAUUUGUUGGACGCUAGCGGCGGAUGGGUGAGUAACACGUGGGCAAUCUGCCCUAAAGACUGGGAUACCACUUGGAAACAGGUGCUAAUACCGGAUAACAACAUGAAUCGCAUGAUUCAAGUUUGAAAGGCGGCGCAAGCUGUCACUUUAGGAUGAGCCCGCGGCGCAUUAGCUAGUUGGUGGGGUAAAGGCCUACCAAGGCAAUGAUGCGUAGCCGAGUUGAGAGACUGAUCGGCCACAUUGGGACUGAGACACGGCCCAAACUCCUACGGGAGGCAGCAGUAGGGAAUCUUCCACAAUGGACGCAAGUCUGAUGGAGCAACGCCGCGUGAGUGAAGAAGGUCUUCGGAUCGUAAAGCUCUGUUGUUGGUGAAGAAGGAUAGAGGCAGUAACUGGUCUUUAUUUGACGGUAAUCAACCAGAAAGUCACGGCUAACUACGUGCCAGCAGCCGCGGUAAUACGUAGGUGGCAAGCGUUGUCCGGAUUUAUUGGGCGUAAAGCGAGCGCAGGCGGAAUGAUAAGUCUGAUGUGAAAGCCCACGGCUCAACCGUGGAACUGCAUCGGAAACUGUCAUUCUUGAGUGCAGAAGAGGAGAGUGGAACUCCAUGUGUAGCGGUGGAAUGCGUAGAUAUAUGGAAGAACACCAGUGGCGAAGGCGGCUCUCUGGUCUGCAACUGACGCUGAGGCUCGAAAGCAUGGGUAGCGAACAGGAUUAGAUACCCUGGUAGUCCAUGCCGUAAACGAUGAGCGCUAGGUGUUGGGGACUUUCCGGUCCUCAGUGCCGCAGCAAACGCAUUAAGCGCUCCGCCUGGGGAGUACGACCGCAAGGUUGAAACUCAAAGGAAUUGACGGGGGCCCGCAC